rnacentral:rRNA from 1 species
AGAGCCCAAACCAAGAAGCUUGCUUCUUGGGGUUGUAGGACACUCUAUACGGAGUUACAAAAGAAAGUUAUAAAUGAAGCGGUCUGGAAAGGCCCGCCAAAGACGGUAACAGCCCGGUAGUUGAAAUGGCUUUCCCUCCAGAGUGGAUCCUGAGUACGGCGGAACACGUGAAAUUCCGUCGGAAUCCGGGAGGACCAUCUCC